rnacentral:ncRNA from 2 species
CCAUACCUUCGGGGCGGGGUGAGAUUCCCCGAUCGGCGGUAGGUCCGCAAAAUAAGCCUGGCGGACAAAGCCCGCAAAUCCAUCAUGGAUCGACCCGGUGAAAUACCGGGGCCGACGGUCCCUCCACAAUACCCAUAAUUAACUGCUCUUUCAGUGGUUGAGCGGAGGGGAAAGUCCGGAUGAAAGAAGGUUUAA